rnacentral:rRNA from 4 species
UACGAAGGGGGCUAGCGUUGCUCGGAAUUACUGGGCGUAAAGGGAGCGUAGGCGGAUAGUUUAGUCAGAGGUGAAAGCCCAGGGCUCAACCUUGGAAUUGCCUUUGAUACUGGCUAUCUUGAGUACGGAAGAGGUAUGUGGAACUCCGAGUGUAGAGGUGAAAUUCGUAGAUAUUCGGAAGAACACCAGUGGCGAAGGCGACAUACUGGUCCGUUACUGACGCUGAGGCUCGAAAGCGUGGGGAGCAAACAGG